AACUUUCAGCAAUGGAUCUCUUGGCUCUCGCAUCGAUGAAGAACGCAGCGAAAUGCGAUAAGUAAUGUUAAUUGCAGAUUUUCAGUGAAUCAUCGAAUCUUUGAACGCACCUUGCGCCCCUUGGUAUUCCGAGGGGCAUGCCUGUUUGAGUGUCAUUGAAAUAUCAACCUUGGGUGGAUUUGCUUCCUCUCCGAUGGUUGGACUUUGGAGAGUGCUGGCGUCAGGUCGGCUCCUCUUAAAUGCAUCAGCGGAAAACUUUGACCUCUGGACGUCAGCGUGAUAAUCACGUUGCGCUGUCGACCGAGGUGUCAUCAUAAGGACCCGCUUCUAAUGGUCUUCGGACAGGACAUCAAAUUUGACCUCAAAUCAGAUAGGACUACCCGCUGAACUUAAGCAUAUCAAUAAGCGGAGGCU
rnacentral:misc_RNA from 1 species